rnacentral:rRNA from 1 species
UACGUAGGUGGCAAGCGUUAUCCGGAAUUAUUGGGCGUAAAGCGCGCGCAGGUGGUUUCUUAAGUCUGAUGUGAAAGCCCACGGCUCAACCGUGGAGGGUCAUUGGAAACUGGGAGACUUGAGUGCAGAAGAGGAAAGUGGAAUUCCAUGUGUAGCGGUGAAAUGCGUAGAGAUAUGGAGGAACACCAGUGGCGAAGGCGACGUUUCUGGUCUGUAAACUGACACUGAGGCGCGAAAGCGUGGGGAGCAAACAGGA